UUCAGCGUUAACACAUCCUGUCUAUCCUGA
rnacentral:piRNA from 1 species